UUAAGCGACUAAGCGUACACGGUGGAUGCCCUGGCAGUCAGAGGCGAUGAAGGACGUGCUAAUCUGCGAUAAGCGUCGGUAAGGUGAUAUGAACCGUUAUAACCGGCGAUUUCCGAAUGGGGAAACCCAGUGUGUUUCGACACACUAUCAUUAACUGAAUCCAUAGGUUAAUGAGGCGAACCGGGGGAACUGAAACAUCUAAGUACCCCGAGGAAAAGAAAUCAACCGAGAUUCCCCCAGUAGCGGCGAGCGAACGGGGAGCAGCCCAGAGCCUGAAUCAGUGUGUGUGUUAGUGGAAGCGUCUGGAAAGGCGCGCGAUACAGGGUGACAGCCCCGUACACAAAAAUGCACAUGCUGUGAGCUCGAUGAGUAGGGCGGGACACGUGGUAUCCUGUCUGAAUAUGGGGGGACCAUCCUCCAAGGCUAAAUACUCCUGACUGACCGAUAGUGAACCAGUACCGUGAGGGAAAGGCGAAAAGAACCCCGGCGAGGGGAGUGAAAAAGAACCUGAAACCGUGUACGUACAAGCAGUGGGAGCACGCUUAGGCGUGUGACUGCGUACCUUUUGUAUAAUGGGUCAGCGACUUAUAUUCUGUAGCAAGGUUAACCGAAUAGGGGAGCCGAAGGGAAACCGAGUCUUAACUGGGCGUUAAGUUGCAGGGUAUAGACCCGAAACCCGGUGAUCUAGCCAUGGGCAGGUUGAAGGUUGGGUAACACUAACUGGAGGACCGAACCGACUAAUGUUGAAAAAUUAGCGGAUGACUUGUGGCUGGGGGUGAAAGGCCAAUCAAACCGGGAGAUAGCUGGUUCUCCCCGAAAGCUAUUUAGGUAGCGCCUCGUGAAUUCAUCUCCGGGGGUAGAGCACUGUUUCGGCAAGGGGGUCAUCCCGACUUACCAACCCGAUGCAAACUGCGAAUACCGGAGAAUGUUAUCACGGGAGACACACGGCGGGUGCUAACGUCCGUCGUGAAGAGGGAAACAACCCAGACCGCCAGCUAAGGUCCCAAAGUCAUGGUUAAGUGGGAAACGAUGUGGGAAGGCCCAGACAGCCAGGAUGUUGGCUUAGAAGCAGCCAUCAUUUAAAGAAAGCGUAAUAGCUCACUGGUCGAGUCGGCCUGCGCGGAAGAUGUAACGGGGCUAAACCAUGCACCGAAGCUGCGGCAGCGACGCUUAUGCGUUGUUGGGUAGGGGAGCGUUCUGUAAGCCUGCGAAGGUGUGCUGUGAGGCAUGCUGGAGGUAUCAGAAGUGCGAAUGCUGACAUAAGUAACGAUAAAGCGGGUGAAAAGCCCGCUCGCCGGAAGACCAAGGGUUCCUGUCCAACGUUAAUCGGGGCAGGGUGAGUCGACCCCUAAGGCGAGGCCGAAAGGCGUAGUCGAUGGGAAACAGGUUAAUAUUCCUGUACUUGGUGUUACUGCGAAGGGGGGACGGAGAAGGCUAUGUUGGCCGGGCGACGGUUGUCCCGGUUUAAGCGUGUAGGCUGGUUUUCCAGGCAAAUCCGGAAAAUCAAGGCUGAGGCGUGAUGACGAGGCACUACGGUGCUGAAGCAACAAAUGCCCUGCUUCCAGGAAAAGCCUCUAAGCAUCAGGUAACAUCAAAUCGUACCCCAAACCGACACAGGUGGUCAGGUAGAGAAUACCAAGGCGCUUGAGAGAACUCGGGUGAAGGAACUAGGCAAAAUGGUGCCGUAACUUCGGGAGAAGGCACGCUGAUAUGUAGGUGAAGUCCCUUGCGGAUGGAGCUGAAAUCAGUCGAAGAUACCAGCUGGCUGCAACUGUUUAUUAAAAACACAGCACUGUGCAAACACGAAAGUGGACGUAUACGGUGUGACGCCUGCCCGGUGCCGGAAGGUUAAUUGAUGGGGUCAGCGCAAGCGAAGCUCUUGAUCGAAGCCCCGGUAAACGGCGGCCGUAACUAUAACGGUCCUAAGGUAGCGAAAUUCCUUGUCGGGUAAGUUCCGACCUGCACGAAUGGCGUAAUGAUGGCCAGGCUGUCUCCACCCGAGACUCAGUGAAAUUGAACUCGCUGUGAAGAUGCAGUGUACCCGCGGCAAGACGGAAAGACCCCGUGAACCUUUACUAUAGCUUGACACUGAACAUUGAGCCUUGAUGUGUAGGAUAGGUGGGAGGCUUGGAAGUGUGGACGCCAGUCUGCAUGGAGCCGACCUUGAAAUACCACCCUUUAAUGUUUGAUGUUCUAACGUUGACCCGUAAUCCGGGUUGCGGACAGUGUCUGGUGGGUAGUUUGACUGGGGCGGUCUCCUCCUAAAGAGUAACGGAGGAGCACGAAGGUUGGCUAAUCCUGGUCGGACAUCAGGAGGUUAGUGCAAUGGCAUAAGCCAGCUUGACUGCGAGCGUGACGGCGCGAGCAGGUGCGAAAGCAGGUCAUAGUGAUCCGGUGGUUCUGAAUGGAAGGGCCAUCGCUCAACGGAUAAAAGGUACUCCGGGGAUAACAGGCUGAUACCGCCCAAGAGUUCAUAUCGACGGCGGUGUUUGGCACCUCGAUGUCGGCUCAUCACAUCCUGGGGCUGAAGUAGGUCCCAAGGGUAUGGCUGUUCGCCAUUUAAAGUGGUACGCGAGCUGGGUUUAGAACGUCGUGAGACAGUUCGGUCCCUAUCUGCCGUGGGCGCUGGAGAACUGAGGGGGGCUGCUCCUAGUACGAGAGGACCGGAGUGGACGCAUCACUGGUGUUCGGGUUGUCAUGCCAAUGGCACUGCCCGGUAGCUAAAUGCGGAAGAGAUAAGUGCUGAAAGCAUCUAAGCACGAAACUUGCCCCGAGAUGAGUUCUCCCUGACCCUUUAAGGGUCCUGAAGGAACGUUGAAGACGACGACGUUGAUAGGCCGGGUGUGUAAGCGCAGCGAUGCGUUGAGCUAACCGGUACUAAUGAACCGUGAGGCUUAACCUU
rnacentral:rRNA from 1 species